AGUGAACGCGGGCGGCGUGCCUAAUACAUGCAAGUCGAACGAUGAAGUCCUAGCUUGCUAGGAUGGAUUAGUGGCGCACGGGUGAGUAAUAUAUAGUUAAUCUGCCCUACACAGAGGAACAACAGUUGGAAACGGCUGCUAAUACCUCAUACUCCUAUUUGACAUAAGUUAAAUAGGGAAAGUCUUUUCGGUGUAGGAUGAGACUAUAUCGUAUCAGCUAGUUGGUAAGGUAAUGGCUUACCAAGGCUAUGACGCGUAACUGGUCUGAGAGGAUGAUCAGUCACAUUGGAACUGAGACACGGUCCAAACUCCUACGGGAGGCAGCAGUAAGGAAUAUUGCGCAAUGGGGGAAACCCUGACGCAGCAACGCCGCGUGGAGGAUGACACUUUUCGGAGCGUAAACUCCUUUUAUCAGGAAAGAAUAAUGACGGUACCUGAUGAAUAAGCACCGGCUAACUCCGUGCCAGCAGCCGCGGUAAUACGGGGGGUGCAAGCGUUACUCGGAAUCACUGGGCGUAAAGGACGCGUAGGCGGAUUAUCAAGUCUUUUGUGAAAUCUAGUGGCUUAACCACUAAACUGCUUAGGAAACUGAUAGUCUAGAGUAGGGGAGAGGUAGAUGGAAUUCUUGGUGUAGGGGUAAAAUCCGUAGAGAUCAAGAAGAAUACCCAUUGCGAAAGCGAUCUGCUGGAACCUAACUGACGCUGAGGCGUGAAAGCGUGGGUAGCAAACAGG
rnacentral:rRNA from 1 species